AGAUAAAAAUUGUGAUUUUGAAAAUUUAUUUAUAAUUUGUUUUACAUGUAAAUUUUAGUAUGAAUUUUUAAUUAUUUUAAUAAUAUAAAUUAAAUUGCAGUAAUUAAUAUUAAAAAUUUAAGAAAUUAAGAUUUAGAAAUAUUAAAAUUAUUAACAAAUUUUGUGCCAGCAGUUGCGGUUAUACAAAAAAUGAAAUAAAUUUUUUUAGUUUUAAUAAAAAAUAAAUAUUAAAUAAAAUAUUAAAUUAUUAAGUGAAAUUUUAAUUUAAUUAAAAUUUAAUGUUUUUUUUUGAUUUAAUAAAUUUUAUUAAUAGACUAGGAUUAGAUACCCUAUUAUUAAAAAUUUAAAAUAAAUACUAAAAUAUUAAAUAAUUAAUUAUUGAAACUUAAAUAAUUUGGCGGUAUUUUAGUUCAUUUAGAGGAAUCUGUUUAAUAAUUGAUAAUCCACGAAUAAAUUUACUUAAUUUAUUAUUUUGUAUAUCGUUGUUAAAAAAAUAUUUUUUAAUAAAAAUAAUAUUUAAAAAUUAAAAGUAAAAAUUAACUCAGAUCAAGAUGCAGAUUAUAAUUAAGAAUAUAAUGGAUUACAAUAAAUUUAUUUAUAUGGAUAGUAUUUUGUAAAAAAAUGUUUGAAGGUGGAUUUAAAUGUAAUUUUAUUUAUUUUAAUAAGAUGAUUAAAAAAUAAAAUAUGUACAUAUUGCCCGUCGCUUUCAUUUAAAAAUUGGAAUAAGUCGUAACAAAGUAGAGGUACUGGAAAGUGUUUCUGGAAAGAG
rnacentral:ncRNA from 1 species